AACAAACGCUGGCGGCGUGCCUAAUACAUGCAAGUCGAACGGGGAAAGUAGCAAUAUGAGUACUAGUGGCGCACGGGUGAGUAACGCGUGGAUAAUCUGCCUUAGAGUGGGGGAUAACGAGUCGAAAGAUUCGCUAAUACCGCAUAAGACCACAAGAACUGCGGUUCAAGGGGUCAAAGGUUUUUCGCUCUAAGAUGAGUCCGCGUGAGAUUAGCUAGUUGGUGAGGUAAUGGCUCACCAAGGCAACGAUCUCUAACUGGUCUGAGAGGAUGAUCAGUCACACUGGAACUGAGACACGGUCCAGACUCCUACGGGAGGCAGCAGUAGGGAAUAUUGCACAAUGGAGGAAACUCUGAUGCAGCGACGCCGCGUGAGUGAUGAAGGCCUUCGGGUCGUAAAGCUCUGUCGCAGGGGAAUAACACAAUGAAUGUACCCUGCAAGAAAGGAUCGGCUAACUUCGUGCCAGCCGCCGCCGUAA
rnacentral:rRNA from 1 species